CUACACACUAUCUUUCUCCCUCUCUUUUUCACACAGACAAGGAGCUCACUCAUACAAAGGGAGUUUGAGAAGCUAUUCUCCCAGAAGCAAAAAACGGCAUAUGAGUUUGCAACAACAUGAGGGGUAAUUGGGGCCCUGCAGAUCAAACGGGAACCUUCAUUAGCAGAACUCAAGGGGCCACUAAUCCAACAUGUUCACACACACCGGGAGAACAGAACGGAUGGGGUUGAUGAGGGUGUAAGUGUGCAAAGGGGGUGCACUGCCUGGCGCCCGCCUCGGCGAGCAAAACAUCUCACCCAUAGAUCAAAGACCCUCAACAUCUCUGAGCCGUCCCGGGAGGAGGAAAAAAAAGGAGAAGAAAAGCAGAGAGAACUAGUACUUCUUGUGACUGGCACAAGGAAGCAGAAACCAAAGUCGCAAUGAAGAGGACUGGAGUGAUGACAGGAGGUCUGACUCCAAAAGCGGCUCCUAAUUAUCCCAGAAGUUACUGUGUCAGAGGUAAGAGAGGGCUACAGCCCCUUCCUCCGUUUCCU